rnacentral:lncRNA from 1 species
CUGUAGUAUUGAGAUGGACGGUCUAGUCGAUCGAUCUCGAUCUCGUAAUGAGAGUGUUGGUUAUGUCCAAGUGGUUUGAGCGUAGCGACCACAGGAGCGGAAGCUCGGUCAUACUGCUCGUAUGAGUGGAGUCGUCAAGUCUGGUGUUGUCGACGAGUUGAGAUUGAGUGCGCGAACAGAGUGUUCGUGCGGACUCAUCGCGAGAACGGUGUGGCGUUGAAGCGUGGCUGAGGGAAGAAAAUGUUCUCUAUGAGACAUUGGAUCUAUGGUAAUCCACGUGGGGUUUUGAUGGACUAGGCUCUCAGAUAAUUAGAAUUAGUAGAUGUGCUGAAGUGUGCCAUCUCAUUUUGAAGCUGAAGUCCGUGUGCGAUUAGAGCGCUCGCAAUUGAGCGAUGCAUGGUGAUGUCGCAUGAAGCGAUGCCGAUUGAGGAACCAGAGUGAGUUUCACCGAGGAGUAGUGAAUGCAGUGAAGAGUCAUACAUAGCGAGGUAGACUCUUAAAUGCCUAGAAUGGUAGAGUGCCAUCUUGUGGACUCCUGUGUGAAUCGAGGAGGUCUACCCAUAUAUAAUGUGAAGUGGUGGUGAACUAUUUGAUUAAGUGGGUAGUACGGCUCUCGAAGAAAGUGGUGUUCGGUGGCAUUAAUAGGUGUCGUA